UACGUAGGGCGCAAGCGUUGUCCGGAAUUAUUGGGCGUAAAGAGCUCGUAGGCGGUUUGUCGCGUCGGCUGUGAAAACUCGGGGCUCAACCCCGAGCCUGCAGUCGAUACGGGCAGACUAGAGUGCUGUAGGGGAGACUGGAAUUCCUGGUGUAGCGGUGAAAUGCGCAGAUAUCAGGAGGAACACCGGUGGCGAAGGCGGGUCUCUGGGCAGUAACUGACGCUGAGGAGCGAAAGCGUGGGGAGCAAACAGG
rnacentral:rRNA from 1 species